rnacentral:rRNA from 1 species
ACGCGAGGAACCUUACCAGGUCUUGACAUCCUCUGACACUCCUAGAGAUAGGACGUUCCCCUUCGGGGGACAGAGUGACAGGUGGUGCAUGGUUGUCGUCAGCUCGUGUCGUGAGAUGUUGGGUUAAGUCCCGCAACGAGCGCAACCCUUGAUCUUAGUUGCCAGCAUUUAGUUGGGCACUCUAAGGUGACUGCCGGUGACAAACCGGAGGAAGGUGGGGAUGACGUCAAAUCAUCAUGCCCCUUAUGACCUGGGCUACACACGUGCUACAAUGGAUGGUACAAAGGGCUGCAAGACCGCGAGGUUUAGCCAAUCCCAUAAAACCAUUCUCAGUUCGGAUUGCAGGCUGCAACUCGCCUGCAUGAAGCCGGAAUCGCUAGUAAUCGCGGAUCAGCAUGCCGCGGUGAAUACGUUCCCGGGCCUUGCACACACCGCCCGU